UACAGAGGGGGCAAGCGUUGUUCGGAAUUACUGGGCGUAAAGGGCGCGUAGGUGGCCUUCUAAGUUGAACGUGAAAUCCCUGGGCUCAACCCAGGAACUGCGUCCAAGACUGGGAGACUUGAAUCCGGGAGAGGGAUGCGGAAUUCCAGGUGUAGCGGUGAAAUGCGUAGAUAUCUGGAGGAACACCGGUGGCGAAGGCGGCAUCCUGGACCGGGAUUGACACUGAGGCGCGAAAGCCAGGGGAGCAAACGGG
rnacentral:rRNA from 1 species